rnacentral:lncRNA from 1 species
CCCAAUAACCAGAGACCCACGAAGAUGCGGCUCUGGUCAACGUAGGACUUGCUCAGUGCUAUUGUAACGUCCGACAUCGGAAUAAUGAACAUUUACUAAUCAUCAUGACUCUCCAACUGUUUUUCGACAUUCAUUGAUGACAUUAAACAUGUUCAUCGACGGCCUUGGCCCCAGACUAAGUGUGUAAAUUAGAUUGGGAAAUGAUCGGUUGAGAUGAUGGUAGCAUAAGAGAAAUGUGCCAUAAACAUGGGGUGGAAUUAAAUUGAUUGGCGUGAGAGGCACACACUCCUUUCCUUCCUUCCUUCAUUGGAGUGGAAGAAGAUGAAAGGUCAACUACUCCACCCAAAACCGAAGAAAAAUUGUAGAGAUACAAUAAUGAGUAAGGAAAAAUGGAUGUGGACCAGGUUGUAUGGUGAGCCCCACUACUAAACCAUGUUUGUGUUGGAUUCUGGAAUAUGUAUGUGCUCAUAUCCGUUCAUUUUUGGUUCACUCCUUUCUUACCCAAGACAAUAUCAUUGACGUGCGUAAUAGUGAAGCAACAAGAGCCAAUGGCCCAUGCUUCACAUCAACGAAUCAAGCAAUUAAAAUUAGUAAAAUUAAAAAGAAAGAACCAUUGAAAUUGUACUUACGUUGUGGAAACAAAAACGUUGAUGGAUCAUGGAUUUUCAUCAACAACAUGUUUUUUUAACUGAACAAAAUAAAAGACAAAAAAUAGAUGUAACAUUUUUAUAAUACUGUACUAAUCUUAAUUCCCUUUCCCAGUUUGCUAAUGUUCUAUUGUCAUGGUCGCUUUCAGCUUUGCCUCAUAUUUCUUCGCUGCUUCUUUGUCUUCUAUCGCUUCAAGUAUUCGUUUUUUAUUUUGUUUGGUCAGACAAGUAGUCGUUACUUUACUCCUGUGUUAGGCUAACCUAACCUAACCAUAACCAAUUAAGUUUUUUUUUUCUUAUAAUUAUUUUACCCAUAAAAAAUAAAAUAAAUCAAGUUCAUUAUAAUUAUAGGGUAAAUGCGUCCUUAAGUUACAUGUUAAAAUACUUUAAAUAGUAAUUAUAUCUUGAAUAAAAUAAUUAUUGACUUCUAAAGAGAUAAAAUAAAAAUGUAUAAUUUUCAAUACAAAAUUAACAUCUGUAGUACACUAGUAAGUGUUUUGCAAGUACACUCUUUUUUCAUACAAUUAUUUACCGGAGCAUCAAAGUGUUUUGCAAGUACACUCUCUUUUCACAAAUAUUUUUAUAGACACGGAUCUUUACCGAUCAAAACCGUUUUGAUCGUUUAAGAUAAAAAAUAAUUUGAAGACUCAGUCGAGUUUAAUUUGAAUGUUGCAAGGUAUAAAAUAGUUUUACGCAUUUGUUAAAUUACUUAAAAAUUUACCAAGAUUUUGAAAAAUGUCAAUCUUGUUUAGUGGUAAAAGAUUUGUAGUACUAAAAAAAGGAGAGCUGACCUGAUUUUGGGAGAUUUGAAGUCAUAAAGAACGAACUUUGGAUUCAGAUUGCUUGGCAUGAAGUACUCCUCUUUGGAAAGUUGUACUUGUUGUAUAUCUGCUUUGAGACUCAUGUCUAAGUGCAAAUU